rnacentral:rRNA from 1 species
GAUGAACGCUGGCGGCGUGCCUAAUACAUGCAAGUCGAGCGAACAGACGAGGAGCUUGCUCCUCUGACGUUAGCGGCGGACGGGUGAGUAACACGUGGAUAACCUACCUAUAAUAGUGGGAUAACUUCGGGAAACCGGAUCUAAUACCGGAUAAUAUAUUGAACCGCAUGGUUCAAUAGUGAAAUACGGUUUUGCUGUCACUUAUAGAUGGAUCCGCGCCGCAUUAGCUAGUUGGUAAGGUAACGGCUUACCAAGGCGACGAUGCGUAGCCGACCUGAGAGGGUGAUCGGCCACACUGGAACUGAGACACGGUCCAGACUCCUACGGGAGGCAGCAGUAGGGAAUCUUCCGCAAUGGGCGAAAGCCUGACGGAGCAACGCCGCGUGAGUGAUGAAGGUCUUCGGAUCGUAAAACUCUGUUAUUAGGGAAGAACAAAUGUGUAAGUAACUAUGCACGUCUUGACGGUACCUAAUCAGAAAGCCACGGCUAACUACGUG